AGAGUGUUACCGCACGUGCGUAGACGUGAGCUCAGCUACCACCAACGGGCCCUCAACGAGGGACCACUGGCCGGCCAUUUCUCAUACCCCCUCUCUCUUCGUGCUUCUUCCUCUUCUAUCUUGUCGAAUCGUUACCAGACAGAGCUGAAACGUCUUUACUUCUUUGCCCUGAGUUCGCUGGCCGCUUGAGGACUCGGCCUCUCUCUCCCCUCCAUUGAGCAGGGCCUCCUCGCUCGGUCAAGCCUCUCCUCUCCUCGCAGCUGUGUUGUUUGCUGUACAGUUGAUGCGCCUCUGCUAACUGCUGCUUUUCCUUGUCGAGUGCACAUAUCGCUUGUGUGUGUGUGCCUUCCUUUCAGCGUCUCUUUCGCUCUCGCCAUUGCUUGGGGGGGGGGGGGCUGUACUUGUGCCUGCUCCGUCCGUCUCUGUCUUUCGCUCGAAACACCUCUCGUUUCGCCGCCGGCCCGCAUUGCAGCCACGCCUCUGGCGACGGGCAAACAAUGAAGUUCAUCCCGCUGGACAGCUUCAGCGCGCUAAACUCCCUCUUGCAAGGGGUGGAGGCGCAGGGGUGCUGCAUCACCAUGCGUCUAGAGGCCUACACGUGUCGGCACACGAAAGAGGAGCGGCAGAUAGCAAACAGCAUAGCUUGCUAUCAAAACAACGUUCAACUCACGCCACCUAUUAGUCCCUUGCCCACUAUCGGCGCGUACGCCGGCUUUACUCAGGAGGCGCUGCCGCCGCUUGUACUGGGCGGAAGCGCCGAGAACGUGACCGCGAGUUACAGCCUCGUGAGCCCCAACGAGAUCGAUGACCGACUGGUGUACUUUGUGGCAGCUCUCAACACGGUAUACGAGAGCGACGGCUACGACUUUUCGGUUCUGCGGGAGAACGACUUUGUGCGUUACACAGAGCCGCAGUUCCGCACGGAGGUGUCGAGCACGCUACAGUCGUUGCCGGAGCAGUGCCGCCCGGCAGUUCAGCGCUUCUGGCCCACGAUCGAGGAAGUAGUGGAGAACGCGGAGAGUGGCUGCGAGUACUACGAGUUUCGAUGUCCCUCCUGCGACCCGCUCGCCGACACCACCGUCUACGCCCGCCACUACUUUGUGUACAACCGCAGAAAAAAGGUGCUUGUGCUGCUUGUGGAGUACGGCGAGAGCAACCCUUACCGAGGGGACGACGGACUGCCACACGCUGGCGACCCGACUUCAGCGUGGGACGCUGAGAGUCCCACGUAUGCCAGCACCCCCGACCCAGGCGAGGAAGGGGAGGCAUACGAUGGUGGCAAGAACAGGCAGUUCUACGGGUACUACUAGUGACUCAGUCUGUGGUGGAGGGUGGCGCAAAGUACAGCCCUGGACACGCGUGAAGCGUCCUUGCCGAAGCCCUUUCCCUCGGUGGUCGGGGCGUUGUUGUCUAUGCCUUCUGCCUUUGCGUCUCUCCACGUGGGCGCGUGCAUAUGUGCGCGGGUCGCACCAGGCCCCCCCCCUCAGUCUCUCUCUAUCCCCCCCUCCACUAU
rnacentral:misc_RNA from 1 species